CCCAAUAAGAAAGGGACACCAAGAUUUUUUCAGUAGAAGCUCUGAUAAACCCUAAAGUUCAAGAAGACCGUUAAGAAUUCAAGUGAGACGGAAUUUCUGUUAAUUUUUAAUCCCUAAUCUUGAUCCUGAAGCUCAGUUUCGAUAUCAUUGCGAGUUGAAGUAACGAGAUGCCUCGGAAGCCAAAAGGGCAUCGCCGUUCGUUGAGACCUCAGCCGUUAACUUUCUCUCGGUUUGCUCGUUCGGUGGCCCAAGUGGCUUCAGUUCAAAUGGUCAGGAGUCAAACACACAAAGCCAGAACCCAUAGAGAGUCUUUUCCUAAUUCAACCAGUAAUGGAUUUUUUAAUAAGAGUUUGAUAGAAAAGAGUAAUCACUCGGAGUCUUCUGAAGAUGAGGGUUUUGAUGGAGUUGUCCAAGCAGAUUUCGUGUUCUUUGACCCAAAACCAGAUGACUUCCAUGGAGUGAAAAUUUUGCUACAGACUUACCUUGAUGAUGCUCAAUGGGAUUUGAGUGGUUUUGUGGACUUGAUAUUGGGACAGACCAUUGUAGGCACUAUUGUUAAAACAGAGGGUGAUGAAGACGAUUCGCCUUUUUCAGUUGUUACUGCUCUUAGUUUAGGGAGAUAUAAGGAUCAUAAAUGUAUAAUGGAGCUCAAGGAGUAUCUGCUUAAAGUAUGCAGGGAGAAGGAUGUAAUAAAUGACUUGAGGUUACUAUUGGGAGAGCAAGCAGAUGACGUGGGUCUGUUGGUCUCACAGCGUGUGGUUAAUCUUCCUCCUCAGCUUUUACCACCUAUGUAUGAUGCUCUCUUUGAUGAAGUCUCGUGGGCUACAGAAGAUGAGCUGACAAAGGAGCUCCAAGAUUCCUUCCGUUUUAAGUUUUAUCUGCUAGUCUGUAAAAUUUACAAGCAGCUCAAGAAUGUGAGCCGGAAAAAGAAGCUAGGUAGUCGGAGUGAUGAGGAGAUGAUAUAUAUUAAGCCUGAAGAUGAAAUUUUUCACCAGCUAAGCAGUUGGUCCUUCACUUUUCCUAUGCGCGCUCAGCGGGUUGAAACUCAAGAGGCAAGUGAAAUUGUUCUGAAAAAUUACCACUUAACAGGGCUAAUGAUGGUUGUAGAUGCUGAAAAAAUUUCUACAUUCCAACAUCAGUUGCAAUCUUUAAUUGACGAAUCAUGAGACCGAAAGGUGCAGAAUUUUCUUUGUCUAAAGACAUCCUUUUCUUUUCCUUAAGUUCUGCAAAACCUUCCAAAUUUAGCGAUUCAUUUCAAUUUUUUUGACAGGUGUUUUUUAUUUUGUGAAAUACAUACAGUUGCAGACUUUGAACUUCCGGUUUCUUACAAUUUUUCUUGAUUUCCAGUGUAGUACUCCGUUCUAUUAUUUAACCCAAUUUUUUCAUCACUGCUACCAACCACCUGCUUUAGGAUUACAUUUUAUCAGAAUUGAAAUUCGUUAACACUUCAAAAUCUAAAAGCAGGAAAAAUUUUGUUUCCAUUUUUUUAAUACCUUCUAUGUCUUCCCUUUUUUAUGAUUUUCUUCUUGAUAAAAAGUUACGAGUAUCUAAAUUUGUAUGUAUUGCUAUUAACUGAAUUUUUAAAUGUUAUCUUGGUGAACUGCCUUUGAUUUAUUUGGUAGAACUUUUGUGUGUGCUUCUUCCUUCAUGUCUUUCUGUUUAACAAAUAUACAGUUUCUUUAAUCCUUUAAAACUAGUUCUUUAUAAGCCAGGGAUUAGCAAUGGAUUUUUUUUAGAAGUACCAGCGAAUUUUCAUCAUAACUGUUGUUGCUCUCCGUUAUCCAUACAAGGUUUGCAAACUCAGGGCUUCAUGGAAGUGAUCAGAGGAUACCUGGGUGAGCAAUGGUGGCAAUUCUUAUAAGCAUCAUCUGAAGCAAGCUUGGUUAGUACUUCUGAUACUUCUUUGAUAUAGUUCAUUCAAGAAGGAAGUUAAGUUGAAGCUCCAUCUAAAGACCCACCUGCUGUGUUUGAGGACGUAACAGGUAAAAUCUCUUCUUCGUUCAUCUUCUGUUUAUUUUAUCAGAUCGCCAUAUUUGAGAUACUAUAUACACCGUUUAUUGGCUGUGUUUCUUGUGCUUCCGAGUUGUAUUUUUCCGGUAUUAUUAAAUUAUAUAUUUUUAAAAUUUUAA